rnacentral:lncRNA from 1 species
AUUGGGUUCUACUGUGUUUGGUUUCUUGAGUGAAACAUUAUGGUAACGCCCUUAUGUCCUUACUAUAAUUUAAAUUUCAGCCUAUAUAUAUGUUCACUAAACGAUGCAUAAGGGAGUGAUCUGUAACCACAAUAUGUCUCACGUUUAGAUUUCUUAGAGCUGAGACCACUUUUAAGUUUUAAGCAUCACAAGUAAAUAACUCUUUAACAUUGUCUUAAAUUUCCUAAGCGGUUUGCUUGAAUCUUGCAAAUACCAGCUGAUAAUCCUAAAACUUUUUCUUUUUAGCCAUUGACAUUGUCAUUUCUUACAAAACACGAAUAUGUUUACACAGGGUGUUACAAUACGAAGAAGCCAAUGGUAGCGGAAUAUAGAAAUAUUGUAGGAUACAAGAGACAUAGAACACACAUGGGAUGAUGAUCAUCUCAGUGGAACUUGAGGCUGGUCAAGACGUUGUUGUUGACGGGAUCCGCCAAGUGAUCAAGCAGGUUCUGGUAAGGCCCGACUCCGGUCACUAGUCCCUGGAUGAAGUAACCGAGGAUGGCGAGCAUAGCCAGUCUACCGUUCUUGACCUCCUUGAGUUUCAACUCUUUCAUUGACUUCUCAUCUUUCCCAAACCCAAGAGGGUUGAAGAAAGGUCCACCGGGGUAUGAUGGGUCACCUGAACCGGCCAAACCCUUCUCUAACCCCAAGAAGUACUGUUUCCCCAUAGAUCCUGGGUUGUACCAGUCCUGUAACCUCCUGUGCUCAGCAAAUCCCAUCAGAGCCAUCUCAAGAACAAAGAGUGUGUAAUUGUCUGCCCAGUAGCUGUAUGUCCCUGCAGGUGGAAUCACACCGGUUUGGAACCAGGGAAGAGCUGUCUCUGCGGGAAUCAGACCAGCCUUUCCUAGAAUCUCAGGAGCAAUAGCUCCAGCUGCACCCAACAUGGCGAACCGUCCGUUGAUGAUCUCUCCGUAUGCUAGCCAUCUCGGCUCAAUGAAUCCUCCGGUUCCCUCUGGGUCUGAGAGACCAAGUGGGUCGAAUCCAUAG